UCUGGGCAUGGUGGCAUGUGCCUGUAGUCCCAGCUACUUGGGAGGCUGAGGUGGGAGGAUCGCUUGAGCCCAGGAGUUCUGGGCUGUAGCGCGCUAUGCCAAUCAGGUGUCUGCACUAAGUUCGGCAUCAAUAUGAUGACCUCCCCAGAGCAGGGGACCACGAGGUUGCCUAAGGAGGGGUGAACUGGCCCAGACUGGAAAUGGAGCAGGUCAAAACUCUGGCGCUGAUCUGUAGUGGGAUCGUGCCUGUAAAUAGCCACUGCACUCCAGCGUGGGCAACAUAGUGAGACCCCCAUCUCU
rnacentral:SRP_RNA from 1 species